UCCCUGGUGGUCUAGUGGCUAGGAUCUGGCGCUUUCACCGCCGUGGCCCGGGUUCGAUUCCCGGUGAGGGAA
rfam:Loxodonta africana unplaced genomic scaffold scaffold_265, whole genome shotgun sequence.